AAUCAACGCUGGCGGCGUGCCUCAGACAUGCAAGUCGAACGCGAAAGUUUCCUUCGGGGAACAAGUAGAGUGGCGCACGGGUGAGUAACACGUAGGUAAUCUACCUUCGGAUGGGGAAUAACAAUCGGAAACGGUUGCUAAUACCGCAUAAUGCAGCGGCACCUAAUGGUGACAGUUGUUAAAGCGGGGGAUCGAAAGACCUCGCGUCUGAAGAGGAGCCUGCGGCGGAUUAGCAGUUGGUAAGGUAACGGCUUACCAAGGCUACGAUCCGUAGCCGGCCUGAGAGGGCGGUCGGCCACACUGACACUGACAUACGGGUCAGACUCC
rnacentral:rRNA from 1 species